GCUGGGAGCUGGGACCCGCACCGGGCUCCCCAGGGCAGGUUGGGCAUGGGCACCUUGGGGAGCCCAGGGAAGGGGCGCGAGGAGGGCCUGGAGCCUCCCUGUAAUUAGGGAGGGGAGGCCAGGAGCUGGGACCCUCAGCUGGGGCGCAGCAGCCUGAGGGACCCCAUCCAUGGCUGCGUGGGGGCGAGGGGCAGCGGGCACCAAGUGGAGCACAUCAGGAAGUGUUUCUGCCCAUGGCUGAGCGCAGGCACAGGUCACCCAGAGGGUCUGUGGGGUCUCCAUCAUUGGAGGUCUCCAAACCCACCUGGGCUUGGCGCUGGGUGGCCCUGCUGGAGCAGGGUGGCACCGGGUGACACCAGGAGGUCCCUGCCCACCCCAGCCCCUCGUGUACCAGCCGCACCUCCUCUGUCUGGCCCAGCACACGCAGCAGCAGCUGCAGGAGGCUGCAGCAAGCAGCUUGCUGCUGCCACCCUCCUGCCAGCAGCCUCCUUCCAGGGACAGCUGCUCAGCCUCAUCCUGCCAGGGGCUGGCUCUUGUCACCCGGCCUGUGCCAAUGCCCCGACAUCUCCGCUGGACUCUCUCCAGUCCUUCUUGUACUGGGAGCCCGCUCUGGCACUGGUGCCUGGACCUGCUCUCGUGCUCCCUGCCCUCAGCCCACCACCCCAGCUCUCACCCAGGGCCAUCGCUGUAUGGCCGGGCUGUGAAAAGGAAAGCAGCAUCGCCCCAAAUUGCCCGUCACCUUCCUUCCUGCUGCCAGAGCAGAGGGUGCAGCACUGCCGCCCACCCAGGUCUCUGUCCUGGGUGAGGAUAUUCCCAGAACAUCCUGGGGCACCCCAAACAUCUCUGCACACUCUGAAAAUCCCAAAGCACUCAGAGCAUCCCAGAGCAUCCCAAAGCACCCAGAGCAUCACGGAGUACUCUGAGCAUCCCUGCACAACCCAAGCAUCUAGGAUACUCUCAGAGUACCCUGAGCAUCCCGGUGCACCUGGAGCAUCCCAGAGCACCUUGAGCAUCCUCUGGGGUAUCCCAAACAUCCCUGUGCACCCAGAGUAUGCUCUGGGGUACCCAAAGUAUCCCUGUUCACCUGGAGA
rnacentral:lncRNA from 1 species